AGCCCAUAUGAAGACACAGGAUGGAGAAAUUGGCUUUCUGCUGCCACAGGCCAGAGAAUGCCUGGGGCCACCAGAAGUUUGAAGAAGCAAAGAAGGAUUCUCCCCUACAGACUUCAGAAGGAGCACGGCCUGCUGAUAACUGUAGACCUCCAGCCUCCAGAACUGGUUCUGUUCUAUGUCAUUUCCUUUGAAGUCAGUGGGAACUCUGUGCAGGACGGCAACAUGAACACCGGCCUCUAUACAUGAAGGUGAAAUACUUCCUGCCUCAGUGAAAUCCGGCUCCCAGUGAAUUUCUUUGGUUUAGAGAGCAACUUGAGGAUUUUGCAUUUGGCACCAUUCAAUUUCCUUGGCAUCUCUCCAUAGUCACCAUUUAGAAGGCUCCUGGUCAGUAGGAUUUCUCUCCCUCUUACACUCUGUAGAGAUUAAAAAAGGAUUGUAUUACAGGGGCUUGGAAAUGUGAUGGAAAAUGAAAUUUGCUUUAGCAAAAAUGGAAGCUUUUGAAACUCAAGUUGUUCUAACAGGACCCUUAGACAAGAAUAGUUUUUAGGGGAGCAAAAUGGCAGAUACGGUUUAAGUUCCUUAUUUAGAUUGCCACUAAGAAAUAUUAUGAUGUGUAAAAUCACUCACUCAAAUAAAGUCAUUUGCAAAACAAUAUGAUUACAUUUAUGUAUUUAAAAAUAUUGGUGCAUACAUACAUAUAAAGCAAGCUUGGAUUAAGAUCUUAAGACAGAUCGUGGCCAGGCGCGGUGGCUCAUGCCUGUAAUCCCAGCACUUUGGGAGGCCAAGGCAGGCGGAUCACCUGAGGUCAGGAGUUUGAGACAAGCCUGGCCAACAUGGUGAAACGCCGUCUCUACUAAAAAUACAAAAAAAAAAAAAGUUAGCUGGGCAUGGUGGCAGGCAC
rnacentral:lncRNA from 10 species